AUUUCUACCGGAGCGGAUCGGUGGUAGGAGCGGCAUAAGCGUAUUCCCCGGGGAGUUGAAUUUUGGGCGCUAAGAGCAUAGGAUUUGGGCCCUAAGGAAUUUCUCAGUAGCCAGGAGCCCCUGAGAGACCGACGGGUCAGGGCCGCCGUUGAGCUAGUGAAAUUACCCUGUGAGAAGGGUAAGAUUUUGUAAUAGGG